GUAGGUGAACCUGCGGAAGGAUCAUUAAUUGUUCUUUUCAAGAGGCUCCGUAAACCUGUAUACUCUCUACCGGGUGAUGAGCAGUAGGGCCUCUGUUUAGACCCUUGUCUUUUGCGCACUCAUGUUUCCUCGGCGGGCUUGCCCGUCGAUUGGACAAAACUAUAACCUUUUUUAAUUUUCAAUCAGCGUCUGAAAACUAUAUAAUAAUUACAACUUUCAACAACGGAUCUCUUGGUUCUGGCAUCGAUGA
rnacentral:misc_RNA from 1 species